rnacentral:rRNA from 1 species
AAGCGCGCGUAGGCGGUUUUUUAAGUCUGAUGUGAAAGCCCACGGCUCAACCGUGGAGGGUCAUUGGAAACUGGAAAACUUGAGUGCAGAAGAGGAAAGUGGAAUUCCAUGUGUAGCGGUGAAAUGCGCAGAGAUAUGGAGGAACACCAGUGGCGAAGGCGACUUUCUGGUCUGUAACUGACGCUGAUGUGCGAAAGCGUGGGGAUCAAACAGGAUUAGAUACCCUGGUAGUCCACGCCGUAAACGAUGAGUGCUAAGUGUUAGGGGGUUUCCGCCCCUUAGUGCUGCAGCUAACGCAUUAAGCACUCCGCCUGGGGAGUAC